UACGUAGGGAGCUAGCGUUGUCCGGAAUUAUUGGGCGUAAAAGAGCUCGUAGGCGGUUUUGUUGCGUCGGCUGUGAAAUCCCGAGGCUCAACCUCGGGUCUGCAGUCGAUACGAGCAAAACUAGAGUGUUGCAGGGGGAGACUGGAAUUCCUGGUGUAGCGGUGAAAUGCGCAGAUAUCAGGAGGAACACCAAUUGCGAAAGGCAGCUCGCUGGGGACGUUUACUGACGCUGAGAACGCGAAAAGCUAGGGGGGAGCGAAACAGG
rnacentral:rRNA from 1 species